CACAAAUGAUUAUGAAACAUAAAAGUUAUUAAACAAAUAUGUAAAGGUUAAAAUAUAAAAAAGAUAUCACAACAUUUUAAUUGCAAACAAUAUUGAAAUUAAUAAAUUGUGUAAGUGUAUAACACUAUAAGCUAUUAUAUAGCUAACACUUGGUAUUCACUUGUUGAUACAACAAUAUUACAAUAUGGUUAUUCUCUGAAUAAAAAUAUGCUAUUUUAAUUAGCAUGGCAGAAACUAAGAGGGUUUUAAAAAAAAAUGUGUUUGAAAGCAACAUAAAACAAAACCACCAAUUCUCAUUGUUACUGUUUGAUUGUACAACUUCUCCCUGUGACAGUUAGCCCCAGUAUCCCAAGGCUAUUUUCAUUUUCAGCAUUUUUAUAUUUUUAAAGGCAAGUAUAUCAGGUUUGUGGUCAUCGGCGGAGGUGUGUGUGAGUGUUUGAGGUUUAAAGUGCAGUUGCAGGUUGCGGUGAAGAUGUGUGUGUGUGUGUGUGUGUGAGGGGAAUGGUGAGAUGGCUCAGGGACUAAGCCUGCUCUUAGUCUGCCAUCUCAGUCAGGAAAGCCUCUGCAGAUUAUCCUCGAGCUGACAGUAACCAAAAUAGAAUGAGCCUGAUUCCCUCUUUUUUGUGUAUGUGUGCAUGCGCUGCCAUUUUUUUUAGUCUCUGUCUGUCUGUCUCUUUCUCUCCCACUCGGUUUCCCUCCUGCUGUCAUUUUUGUUUUAUUCGCACACUCUCCGAAUCCUAUCCUCGCAUGGCUUUUGGCCUACUUAUUGUAUUAUCAAGCGUCAGUGUUUCUGGAUGA
ensembl:lncRNA